GACGGAGGAUGCAAGCGUUAUCCGGAAUUAUUGGGCGUAAAGCGUCCGCAGGUGGAUUUACAAGUCUGCUGUCAAAGUGCAGAGCUUAACUCUGUAAAGGCGGUGGAAACUGUAAGUCUUGAGUAUGGUAGGGGUAGAGGGAAUUCCCGGUGUAGCGGUGAAAUGCGUAGAUAUCGGGAAGAACACCAGUGGCGAAAGCGCUCUACUGGGCCAUAACCGACACUGAGGGACGAAAGCUAGGGGAGCGAAAGGG
rnacentral:rRNA from 1 species